rnacentral:rRNA from 1 species
UACAGAGGGGGCAAGCGUUGUUCGGAAUUACUGGGCGUAAAGGGCGCGUAGGCGGCCUACUAAGUCAGACGUGAAAUCCCCCGGCUUAACCUGGGAACUGCGUCUGAUACUGGAAGGCUUGAGGAUGGGAGAGGGAUGUAGAAUUCCACGUGUAGCAGUGAAAUGCGUAGAUAUGUGGAGGAACACCGAUGGCGAAGGCAGCCCCCUGGGCCAAUACUGACGCUCAUGCGCGAAAGCGUAGGGAGCGAACAGG